rnacentral:rRNA from 1 species
ACUUUCAUCGAAUACGGCUUUCGACAUAAUUCUAUAGGGAUCUAUGAGAUCGAUUAUGGAAUUCUGUUUACUCACUUUAAAUUGAGUAUCCGUUUCCCUCCUUUCCCGAGGAUCAGAAAUCCUGUAUUUUCCAUAUCCAUACGACCGAGUCCUUAG